rnacentral:lncRNA from 1 species
UUUCUCUCAUAGUUGGAUUAUGUUCUUAAACCUUCCCUUCAUUUGUAUUAUAUUGCUUUUUACUAAUAAAAAAAGAAAAAAGAAGUUAUCGUUCUUAAAUGGUUAUUCAAAUAUCAUUCUUCUUUUUGAAGAUAUUGACCUCUUACCUGCUGGAUUGUGAAGACCGAUGCAAAUUGGCUUCGAAAUGAAAAAAACUAAAUGAUCUGCAAAGAAAACAAAUUAGUGAAGGAAAACAAAUUAAAACCAAAUUGCAAAAUAUUAAAACAAACUUCAAUCACAAAUCGCAAAAUUUUAGUCUAUUAGUGAAGGAAAACAAAUUAAUGGAUACCACUUGUUGAAGAAACUCCGAUCUUUGAAAUGAACAGACUGAUAGGAAAUUAAAAAUGCAGCGAAUAUAUAUAUGAGAUAACUUUUGUUCACUAUUUUUGAGUUUUGGUUUUUGGCUUUUUUUUUUUUUGUUUUUGCAGUAGGAAUGGGAAUUAAAUAGCAAAAAACUGAAAGAAAAAUUAAUAUUACAGAAAUAGUAAGAGAUUAAUUCAAGUAUGAAAAAUGGAAGAUAAUGAGCAAAGGUAUUUUUUGUUUAAGCUAAGAGCAAUAAACUCAGAGAUGGGUUUCAGGUAUUGAAGAACUAUGUUGGAGCAAAUGUAUUUUUUGUUUGGGUAUUGACUUGACUUGACUCAUUAGAUACGUGAAUAUGAACACAAAACAUAAUAAUUCAAUGCAAUCAGCGUAGUACUGUUAUCGUCUGCUACUGCAAGUGGAGCACAUGAUUCAUGAUUGCACAUUUUGUUAGUUGCAAAUUCAUAGCAACUUUAUUGCAAAUUAAUUUUGUUAGGUGCAACUUCA